AGGCCUGAGCAAUCUGGCACGCACGGUGUGACUUUUAAUCCGGGAGUCGUGGGUUCGAAUCCCACCGGGCCCUCCA
rnacentral:tRNA from 1 species